UGGACUCCUCUUUGACUUUUUAUUUUUUUUUUAUUUUUUUUUUGAAAUUUGACUUUUGUUCCUGUAGUGCGGCAUCGGAUGUCGACCCCGGCCAAACUGCCAGCCAGGGAACGGGCGAGCCUGCCCGCGGUUCUGGGGAUGCGGCCCCCCAGACCACAGAGCAGCCAACAGCUGCAGUCGCGCCUAGGAGCACCGAGGGGCUCCCGAGCGCGGCACCGACUACGACAAGCAGCCCGACCAGGGCUGGAGAGGCUCCCCCAACUGACUCCUCAG
rnacentral:lncRNA from 1 species